rnacentral:rRNA from 1 species
UGAACUGAAGAGCUGCAGUAUUUUUAUUGUACUAAGGUAGCAAAAUAAUUUGUUUAUUUAUUGUAAACUAGAAUGAAAGAUUUAACAAAUUUAAAUCUUUCUUAACUUUUUAGUCAAAAUUUUUUAUUUAAGUGCAAAAACUUAAUUAAAUUUAAGGGAAGACAAGACCCUUAGAAUUUAUUUUAUACUUACAAAGUUAAGGUGAUAAAAAAUUAGUUGGGGUGACUUCUAAGUAACUUAUAAACCUUAGAUUAAAAAUUUUACUAUCAUAGAAUAUUUGAAUAUAUAUAUAUAUAUAUAUAUGAUUAAUUACCUAAGGGAUAACAGUGUUAUAUAUAUUUACAGUACUAAUGUUAAUUUAUGUUUGCGACCUCGAUGUUGGAUUAAGUUAAUUUUG